ACGGAUUGUCCAUCCGGUAACC
rnacentral:miRNA from 1 species